ACGCUGGCGGUGUGCUUAAGGCAUGCAAGUCGAGCGCUUUGCUUCGGCAAAGAGCGGCAAACGGGUGAGUAACACGUACGAAUCUACCCAGAAGCGGGGGAUAGCCUCGAGAAAUCGAGGGUAAUACCGCAUAGUCUUAUACUUUAUGUAUAAGUAAAGGGCGUAACUGCCCACUUUUGGAGGAGCGUGCGGCUUAUCAGCUAGUUGGUAGGGUAAUGGCCUACCAAGGCUAAGACGAGUAGCUGGUCUGAGAGGAUGGUCAGCCACAAGGGCACUGAGACACGGGCCCUACUCCUACGGGAGGCAGCAGCUAGGAAUAUUGCGCAAUGGGCGAAAGCCUGACGCAGCGACACCGCGUGUGGGAUGACAGCCUAACGGUUGUAAACCACUAAUCCUUUAACGAGAGUUAAAGGGAUAAGCGCCUGCUAACUACGUGCCAGCAGCCGCGGUAAUACGUAGGGCGCAAGCGUUAUCCGGAAUUAUUGGGCGUAAAGAGUCCGCAGGUGGUUUAUUAAGUUUUUUGUUAAAGAUCUCGGCUUAACUGAGAAAAUGCAAGGAAUACUGAUAAACUAGAGUAGAUUCGGGGUCACUGGAACUUGCUAUGUAGGGGUGAAAUCCAUGGAUAUAGCAAGGAACACCAAGGGCGAAGGCAGGUGACUAGGAUCUUACUGACACUCAGGGACUAAAGCUAGGGUAGCAAACUGGAUUAGAGACCCAGGUAGUCCUAGCCUUAAACGAUGCUCGCUAGUUGUUCUGCUUUUUAGUGGAGUGACGAAGCUAACGCGUUAAGCGAGCCGCCUGGGGAGUACGGCCGCAAGGCUGAAACUCAAACAAAUUGACGGGAAGGCGCACAACCAGUGGAGUAUGUGGUUUAAUUCGAUACGAAGCGAUGAACCUUACCUGGGCUUGACAUCUUACUUAUGUUUUUCUUGUAAUGAGAGAAACUUAAAGGUAAGACAGCUGGUGCAUGGCUAUCGUCAGCUCGUGACGUGAGUCGUUCCCUUAAGUGGGGUAACGAGCGCAACCCUUGCCGUAUGUUAUACAUGUCAUACGGGACUGCCUUGGUUCUACACCAAGGAGGAAGGAGAGGAUGACGCUAAGUCAGCAUGUCACUUAUGCUCAGGGCUACACACAUUCUACAAUGAGACGGACAAUGGGUUGCCAAACCGCGAGGUGGAGCUAAUCUCAUCAAACCGUCUCUCAGUGGGGAUUGUAGUCUGCAAUUCGACUACAUGAACGCGGAAUUGGUAGUAAUCGGGGAUCAGCAUGCCUCGGUGAAUACGUUCUCGCCUUUUGUACACACUGCCCGUCAACUGAGCCGAGUUGGCAAUACCCGAAGCUCUAAAUAUUUUUUUGGAAUUAAGGUGGGGCCAGCGAGGAGCGGUAAGUCGUAACAAGGUA
rnacentral:rRNA from 1 species